GCCUGUGGUUAAACCUCCUUGUCAGAGCCUCAUCAGAUUUCAGAAGCUAAACAAGACCAGGGCUGGUUAGUACUUCGAUGGGAGACCACUGGGAAUUCUAAGUGCCACAGUGG
rnacentral:rRNA from 1 species